GUACAAGUCUUAUAGAAACAUCGUAUAUACUUUCGACAUUAUGGUGAAAGCGUUUCUACCUGAAAACCAAUUUCAGACUACGAUGGAAGCAUAUAUACGA
rnacentral:ncRNA from 2 species